UGGGGAAUAUUGGACACUGGGGGGAACCCUGAUCCAGCCAUGCCGCGUGUGUGAAGAAGGCCUUAUGGUUGUAAAGCACUUUAAGCGAGGAGGAGGGUACUGGUAUUAAUACUACCAGCUACUGGACGUUACUCGCAGAAUAAGCACCGGCUAACUCUGUGCCAGCAGCCGCGGUAAUACAGAGGGUGCGAGCGUUAAUCGGAUUUACUGGGCGUAAAGCGUGCGUAGGCGGCUAAUUGAGUCGGAUGUGAAAUCCCCGAGCUUAACUUGGGAAUUGCAUUCGAUACUGGUUAGCUAGAGUGUGGGAGAGGAUGGUAGAAUUCCAGGUGUAGCGGUGAAAUGCGUAGAGAUCUGGAGGAAUACCGAUGGCGAAGGCAGCCAUCUGGCCUAACACUGACGCUGAGGUACGAAAGCAUGGGGAGCAAACAGG
rnacentral:rRNA from 1 species